UUGACGUUUGUUUGUUGAUUUUGAAAUCAAUUCAGAAUUUACAAGUGAUAUGGAUGUCGAAAUUUUUAUUUCGCUUCUUCGGCAACGAUCUGUGCUGCGGAACAAAUUCGGUGAUACAAGUUGCUGCACGAAGGUAAGCAAUGGUCACAGGCGCACGAGAUCAUCAUGGAGCAUAUUGCCGUGGACUGUGUUAUCAACGAUUCGCUACUGAACCAGUUCGAUGAUGUCAAACAAAUUUCCAACUGGUUCAUCAAGGGACAUAUUUUGAGUUAGCUUAUCGAGACUUUAUGAGGAGACAAUUUGACCUGACUCGAGACGCGAUCGACUACGAGGUGGACGAGGCUCGGCUCGAGGAUCUCAAGCCCUAAAUGUCCGAUCUGUGAUCGGUGAUCGAGAUGUUUCCCUGUCCGACGCCGAAGCAUCGGUUCUGUCAGAGCGAAAUCACCCAAUAUAUCUGAGUCGGACAUUCUUUGCCCAAGAUCCGCGUAUAUGAGAUAGAGUUCGAAGGAAAAUUAUGACGUUAUUUUUAUCAUAAAGACUGUCAGUGCAAUGGUGAAAUAAAGAAAAAACACAAAAAUAUGGGCACACAAUACAUAUAAAUAACUUCAUCGAGCUGAUUGUGAAGACAGUUCGACCUGACCCGGAACACGAUCGACGAUGAGGUGGUCGCAACUCGGCUCGAAGAACUCCAACCCAAACUGUCCGAUCUGUGCUCGGUGAUCAAGAUGUUCCCCUGCCCGGCGCUGAAGUAUCGGUUCUGUUAGAACGAAAUCACCCAGCUGUUGGCAUAUAUGAUUUGGCCAUUCUUUGCCCACGAUCCGAUGUGCGUUGAUGCGAAAUGUGUUCCAGAAGCUGUCCCUGCCUCAGGGGAACGUGUUCCAGGAAUUGCGACACAUGCUCAGCGUGUUUCUGGACAAAGGUCUGCGGAAGCAACAAUGAGCUAGUGUUUGAAGGGAAAUUAUGUUUUUUCAAUUAAUUUAUUUGUAAGGCUCAAUCGCGUGUGAAAUAAACUAUGCUAUUUGUGUAUGUUUGAAAAUAAAAUAAUUUAGCGUACGAAUA